rnacentral:sRNA from 1 species
UUCCACUGGACAUUUUAGCCAACAGUUUUAAAUGUAUGUGUUAAACACACCAAAAAGAAACGAACAAACACUCCACAUGCCUUCCAGUUUACUACUUUUACCACUAAAUAUUGUGCUCUUUCCUUUUAGUUGCCUGCUAAUAAAGAUGCCUUUCGAAAGACAUGGAAUCCCAAGUAUACACUACGUAGCCAUUUUGAUGGAGUACGGGCAUUAGCUUUUCAUCCUGUAGAACCUGUGCUGGUUACUGCUUCUGAGGACCAUACCCUGAAACUUUGGAACCUGCAAAAAACAGUUCCUGCCAAAAAGAGUGCCUCUUUAGAUGUAGAGCCUAUCUACACAUUUAGGGCCCACAUUGGCCCUGUUCUGUCAUUAGCUAUUAGUUCUAAUGGAGAACAGUGUUUUAGUGGUGGUAUUGAUGCAACCAUCCAGUGGUGGAAUAUGCCGAGUCCCAAUGUAGAUCCAUAUGAUACAUAUGAGCCAAAUGUUCUAGCUGGCACUUUAGUUGGUCAUACAGAUGCAGUUUGGGGUCUUGCUUAUAGUGGCAUAAAAAAUCAAUUACUGUCUUGUUCAGCAGAUGGCACUGUUAGGUUAUGGAAUCCACAAGAAAAAUUGCCAUGUGUUUGCACUUACAAUGGAGAUAAAAAGCAUGGAAUACCUACAUCAGUUGACUUUAUAGGCUGUGAUCCAGCUCAUAUGGUAACCUCUUUCAACACUGGUAGUGCAGUAAUUUAUGAUUUAGAAACAUCACAGUCAUUGGUGAUACUUUCAUCACAGGUAGAUUCUGG